rnacentral:rRNA from 1 species
GAGUUUGAUCGUGGCUCAGGACGAACGCUGGCGGCAUGCCUAACACAUGCAAGUCGAACGGGGAUACGAGAGCUUGCUUUUGUAUCUUAGUGGCGGACGGGCGAGUAACGCGUGAGCAACCUGCCCUUCAGUGGGGAAUAACGUCUGGAAACGGACGCUAAUACCGCAUAACACAACGGAGCCGCAUGACUUUGUUGUCAAAGGAUUUAUUCGCUGAAGGAUGGGCUCGCGUCCGAUUAGCUAGAUGGUGGGUAAAGGCUCACCAUGGCGACGAUCGGUAGCCGAACUGAGAGGUUGAUCGGCCGCAUUGGGACUGAGACACGGCCCAGACUCCUACGGGAGGCAGCAGUGGGGGAUAUUGCACAAUGGGGGAAACCCUGAUGCAGCAAUGCCGCGUGAGGGAAGAAGGUCUUCGGAUUGUAAACCUAAGUAGCCAGGGACGAUAAUGACGGUACCUGGAGAGUAAGCUCCGGCUAACU